GACGAACGCUGGCGGCGUGCUUAACACAUGCAAGUCGAGCGGUAAGGCCCUUUCGGGGGUACACGAGCGGCGAACGGGUGAGUAACACGUGGGUGACCUGCCCUUAGCUCUGGGAUAAGCCUGGGAAACUGGGUCUAAUACCGGAUAUGACUCCAUGACGCAUGUUGUGGGGUGGAAAGCCUUGUGCGGCUAGGGAUGGGCCUGCGGCCUAUCAGCUUGUUGGUGGGGUGAUGGCCUACCAAGGCGACGACGGGUAGCCGGCCUGAGAGGGCGACCGGCCACACUGGGACUGAGACACGGCCCAGGACUCCUACGGGAGGCAGCAGUGGGGAAUCUUGCGCAAUGGGCGAAAGCCUGACGCAGCGACGCCGCGUGGGGAUGACGGCCU
rnacentral:rRNA from 1 species